rnacentral:lncRNA from 1 species
CCAGGGUUUUUCUAUGCACAUAGAUAUAGUGCCUGGCACACAGUAGACACUCAAUAAAUAUCUCCGGAAAUAAAGGGAAAGGUGGCAAAAGGCGAUGUGGAGGUGUCCGCCCUUCCGGGGUUUUUACCCUCGGCAGUUUGAUGUCCUUUGUGUCAAGGUCUGGCUGCGGAGGCCGGGAAAAUGUGGCCCCCGUCAGUAAGGGUUGGGCAGGGAGCUUGGCGUG